CCGUGACUUCACCCAAAGACGACAAUGCUGUGUAUCAUCACGUUUUAAACAGGAAGGUUGUGUGAUAGCUAAUCUGUUUCUCAAGAACAGACUUGUCAUUUUGAGAAGGAAGUUCUCACCAAUUACUUUGGAAAAAUGAACAAAAACAGAGACACCCAAAGUUCUUAAGUGUCUCGGGUGUUUAUUAAUUGCAAGUCAUUCCUGAAACCUGGGCAACAUCACGUUCUGGACAUUUCUUUGCUAACUGCAUCCUGAAAUCGCCCUUAUGAAAAGGAGAACAAACAAGAAUGAGUAUUGAGAAACACCCGAAGAAGAAGGAACUCAUGGCAAACCAGGAAGUACACCAGGAAGGAAGUGUUCAGGAUGAUGCGCCCUGACACACUGCAAACAUUGUUCAGGAACGGUCUGAGGAACAUGACGAAGAGUUCAAGGUGUUGACUCCGAUCUCAGUCCGAUCAGGCCUCUGUGGGACGAGUCCGAUCCAUGGAGGCCCCACCUCACAACCUACGGGACUAGUUGUACAGGAUCUGCUGCUAACGUCUCUAUGCCAGAUACCACAGCACACCUUCAGAGGUCUUGUGGAGUCCGUGCCUCGACGGGUCACAGCUAUUUUGGUGGCACAAGGUGGACGUACACAAUAUUAGGCUUCCUCAUCUCGAAAGGGAAAACCGAGACAUUUUCACCCUGAAGGGGUUUUCCCUGUAUAGCGAUGGACAGAAACAGGUGGGAUCCGGCUUUUAAUUUAAGCCCGGACUUCACCGUACGGGACACGGCAGCAUCAGCAGGGACAAGAUGGCACGGACAGAAAGUCCCACCGCUGACAUGUGAUCUCCCGCCGGUGUUCUCCACAGUGAAACCGUCCCUCGUCUGUAUCUCUACACUCUCGUCACCGUCCGGAACGUACCGCGUGACGCCGAAGAGCGUGGGCCGAUUUCUCGCCGGUUUCUUUACUUGGCGAUAAAAGAAACCGCAUCGGUCGUAUUUCUUUCGUCAAAACACACAGGCAGAGUGAAACUCGCUGCGUCAGAAACCCCAAACCUCAUUUCCUGCCACAGGAAGUUCACGACUAAUUAUACUGCAGUGUGAACGCACAGAGGCGUGGCGGUGCAAAAUAAAAUGUGAAGUCAAGUCGACGGGCAUACUAUGAAAAGCGUGUUGUUAUAACAAUAAAAAAUGCAAAAACUGCGUAAAAAUAAGCUGCGUGUGAGUUUUCAUUAAGCAUGCCAAGUGGAACUCGUGUCUUUUACGCAUGUGAUGUUUUAAAGUUCUUAUUGUUCCAUUUAGCACCGCCCUUCAGAAGCUACAUAAGCUAGCUACGCUUCCCAAAUUCAUA
ensembl:lncRNA